rnacentral:rRNA from 1 species
CCUACGGGAGGCAGCAGUGGGGAAUUUUGGACAAUGGGGGCAACCCUGAUCCAGCAAUGCCGCGUGAGUGAAGAAGGCCUUCGGGUUGUAAAGCUCUUUUGUCAGGGAAGAAACAGCAGCUCUAACACAGUCUGCGAAUGACGGUACCUGAAGAAUAAGCACCGGCUAACUACGUGCCAGCAGCCGCGGUAAUACGUAGGGUGCGAGCGUUAAUCGGAAUUACUGGGCGUAAAGCGUGCGCAGGCGGUUAUACAAGACAGGCGUGAAAUCCCCGGGCUUAACCUGGGAACUGCAUUUGUGACUGCAAGACUAGAGUGUGUCAGAGGGAGGUGGAAUUCCGCGUGUAGCAGUGAAAUGCGUAGAGAUGCGGAAGAACACCGAUGGCGAAGGCAGCCUCCUGGGAUAACACUGACGCUCAGGCACGAAAGCGUGGGGAGCAAACAGGAUUAGAUACCCUGGUAGUCCACGCCCUAAACGAUGUCAACUGGUUGUUGGGGAUUCAUUUCCUUAGUAACGUAGCUAACGCGUGAAGUUGACCGCCUGGGGAGUACGGCCGCAAGGUUAAAACUCAAAGGAAUUGACGG